rnacentral:rRNA from 1 species
UGCCAGCAGCCGCGGUAAGACGGAGGGCGCAGGCGUUGUUCGGAAUUACUGGGCGUAAGGCGCGGGCAGGUGGUCUGUUAAGUCUUCUGUGAAACUCCGGGGCUCAACCCCGGACAUGCAGGAGAUACUGGCAGACUUGAGACCGGUAGAGGCUAGCGGAAUUCCUGGUGUAGCGGUGGAAUGCGUAGAUAUCAGGAAGAACACCGGUGGCGAAGGCGGCUUUCUGGACCGAUACUGACGCUGAGACGCGAAAGCGUGGGGAGCAAACAGGAUUAGAUA